CCUACGGGAGGCAGCAGUGAGGAAUAUUGGUCAAUGGCCGGAAGGCUGAACCAGCCAUGCCGCGUGAAGGUCAGUGCCCUAUGGGCGUUAAACCUCUUUUGUGCGGGAGCAAUAAUGGUCACGUGUGGCCAGACGAGAGUACCGUACGAAUAAGCAUCGGCUAACUCCGUGCCAGCAGCCGCGGUAAUACGGGGGAUGCAAGCGUUAUCCGGGUUUAUUGGGUUUAAAGGGGGCGUAGGCUGUGAGGUAAGUCAGCGGUGAAAUGCCUCCGCUCAACGGGGUGAAGUGCCAUUGAUACUGCCUUGCUGGAAUGCGGAUGCCGUGGGAGGAAUGUGUGGUGUAGCGGUGAAAUGCAUAGAUAUCACACAGAACACCGAUUGCGAAGGCAUCUCACGAAUCCGCGAUUGACGCUGAUGCACGAAAGCGUGGGUAUCAAACAGGAUUAGAUACCCCAGUAGUC
rnacentral:rRNA from 1 species